rnacentral:rRNA from 1 species
CAGUAGCCACGGUAAUACGUAGGUGGCAAGCGUUGUCCGGAAUUAUUGGGCGUAAAGCGCGCGCAGGCGGAUAGGUCAGUCUGUCUUAAAAGUUCGGGGCUUAACCCCGUGAUGGGAUGGAACUGCCAAUCUAGAGUAUCGGAGAGGAGGGUGGAAUUCCUAGUGUAGCGGUGAAAUGCGUAGAUAUUAGGAAGAACACCAGUGGCGAAGGCGACUUUCUGGACGAAAACUGACGCUGAGGCGCGAAAGCCAGGGGAGCGAACGGGAUUAGAUACCCCCGUAGUCCCUGUCUCUUAUACAC